AGUUGGUGGAGCGAUUUGUCUGGUUAAUUCCGAUAACGAACGAGACUCUAGCCUACUAAAUAGUGUGCAUGAUCUUCUCGUCUGCACAACUUCUUAGAGGGACAGACGGCAUCUAGCCGUACGAAAUUGAGCAAUAACAGGU
rnacentral:rRNA from 1 species